UGAUGGACCUGUCAAUCUUUGAGUCAGAAUUUUACUGCGCUGUGAACUCAUUUGACAUUUGCCAUGCUAGAUGGUAGGCCAUAUGAAACAUUGUGUCUGCUCAAAGUAGCCACUUUCAUUAUUGGGAAAUAAAACUGAGCCGCUACAAUCCAAAUGUAUGCGGAAGACAAAGGCACUGGGAACUUCCAGUGGGAGUGAAAGUUCAGCUGAAUGUUCAAUUGUUCCAAAACGUCUGACAUGCAGGAAUGAUAUAAAAAAUGGUCGGGCUAUCCUGGUUCUGUCUAAGGAUACAAAAUAGCGUUUUGAAUCCUAUGAGGCAGCAAACAUGAUGAAGAGAGGGGAUGUUGUGCGUCCCUCUGUCAAUGUUUUUUUUAAAUAUUCAACGCUGAGAAUUAUUGUCAUAAGGAGCUUCAAGGUUGGAACCCUCAACAGAAUCACGCAGGCUUUAGUGAUUGCAUAUGUGAUCAGCAUGGUGAAUCACCGUCAGGAGCUGGAGUAUUUCCAAUUCAUGACUUGGCCAAAUUCCUCAGAAGUCCCUCCUCCAAUUCUAGUGUGUUCUUUAAAGGUUGGUGACCCAGCCAUGACUUUGCAUUGUUGAUACUGUAUCUGUUUAUUCCUUAAAUAUACACUACCGUUCAAAAGUUUGGGGUCACUUACAAAUGUCCUUGUUUUUUAAAGAAACUUUAAAGAAAUUUUUUGUCCAUUAAAAUAACAUCAAAUUGAUCAGAAAUAGUGUAGACAUUGUUAAUGUUGUAAAUGACUAUUGUAGAGGGAAUGGCAGAUUUUUUAUGAAAUAUCUACAUAGGCGUACAGAGGCGCAUUAUCAGCAACCAUCACUCCUGUAUUCCAAUGGCACGUUGUGUUAGCUAAUCCAAGUUUCUAAUUUUAAAAGGCUAAUUGAUCAUUAGAAAACCCUUUUGCAAUUAUGUUAGCACAGCUGAAAACUGUUGUUAUGAUUAAAGAAGCAAUGAAACUGGCCUUCUUUAGACUAGUUGAGUAUCUGGAGCAUCAGCAUUUGUGG
rnacentral:lncRNA from 8 species